ensembl:lncRNA MFF-DT MFF divergent transcript
GCACUGGAACGGCUCCACGAGUCUGUCACCCAGGUUGGAGUGCGGUGGUGUGAUCUUGGCUCCCUGCAACCUCCACCUCCCAGGUUCAAGCGAUUCUCCUGCCUCAGCCUCCCAAGUAGCUGCGAUUACAGGCACCCACCACCAUGAAGAAUGGCAUUUUUAAAAGAUGGCUUUCUUAAAAAAGGAUACUCAGUUGCUCUUCUACUCAUACCAAGGUCAUGAAAAGUGCCAAGGAUAAAACUGGCCUUGAACCAGCUAUCUUUGGAGCAAGAAGACCAAAGAAGGAACCAUCUGAUUGCUUGGAUAAAGUGUUGUUAAAAAAGGAGAGAGACAAAACAGAACCAUCUGGUCAAGGACUUGCUGGCUUCUGAUGUCUGCCUGUUCUCUUGAGGCUAAGUCCUGCAGACACAUUCUGGGACUGCACCUUAUGAGUGCUGCUCACUCUGUUUCCUGCAGAAGACAUACAGAGCCGUUCGCAUAGAGUAGGGCCAUGAUUUUGAUUCAGCAAUUCUUCAAACCACUGAUGCUGGUUGACCAUUUGACUUUGUUUUUGAAGUAUUUUUUACAUACAGUGUACAGAACAUUUCCGCUGGAUAUUUGGAUACUGAACAGGAGUAACAAGAGGAACAGCUCCUACCUCCCCCCUGCCCCUUCCCUCACAAGCCUGUGAGUCAGGGCAGGGGCAGCCACUGAAAGUAGCAGAGGCCUUCAUAAAGGAGAACACUUCUCCAUGUUGCCAUCAUGUGAAGAAGGACAUGUUUGCUUCUGCUUCUGCCACGAGUGUUGAAGGCAAUGGUGAUGAAAGUAAAUAUUUAAAAACACUACCAUAGCUGUCCCAAAUUUCAGAAAAACAAGGUACCACUGGAACCAUUUAAUUUUGUUGGAACACAGAAUGACCAUCUUGUGAUCAGUUUUCUGCAUCUUUAAAAUACCUGGAAGGUCAUCUUUAAAUAGUACAAUCUGAUAAAAGUUUAAUACUUAGUGUAGACUUAUAUGAAUACUUCUACAUUCAUACAUUUUUGUAUACUUAUACAUUUUCAUACUCAAUUAAUGCUUAAUUCAAAAAAUAUCUGAGUACCUGCAGUGUUCCCCAUGCUACAUACUGGGCUUAAACAGCCAAAAAGACACAGUCUUUGACCUCAAAAUACUUUGAUUCUUGUAAGAAAAACUGACAAAGACAAAGAGAAGGCAAUGUGAAAACUUCUACAGUUGGGAUAACCUUGGAGGUUACAGGAUGUGGACUCACUGAAAGCUUUCUGCUGGACUUGAACUUGAAGCUGAAGUCUGAAGGACAGAUGGGUGUUGCUUAGCGAAGGGAAAGUAGGAAGCAAAGACCCCUGGACAGAGUGUAGCAGGCACAGAGGGAGCAUGACACCUUCGGGAGAGAGCCGCAAGCACCUGGGCCCAGAUCCCAGCUUUAGCUUCAUUAGCCCUGUGAACUCUGUAUGUCAGCCUUGACAUAGAAAAAAAGAGGAUACUAAACCUCCAUCUUAAAAGAGACUUGGAAGAAGCUGGGAUUAUAGGCACACCACCACACCUGGCCCCAGAAAAGGGAAUCCUUGACCUGCAAGAAUCGAGGAAUAUUGUUUCUGACAUGCUCAGUGGACCUACUGCUGGUGUUCUUAACCAUUUCCUUCCUAAGUGGAACUUCUUUUGAGCCUCAGAUGAAAACAACCAGUUGAGCUCCAAGUUUUCUUUCUGUGGGAGAACUUUCCUUAAAAGACAAUUAGAAAGCAAGGAAUGCGAAGAAAGAAAAUGGGAAGUUUCCUGCCUCCAAAUUAUGCUGUUGGUUCUGGCCUAAAGGAAUGUUUUCAAGGGAAGCCUGUCUGCCUUUCAUUGCCAUUUCACCUUGAUUUAAUCAUUCAGCAAAGCAUUUAUUAAUCAUCUUCUGUGUGAAAAGUACUUACCUUAGAACCACUGCAUCCUGGUACACCGACAAGUCCGUAAGGCCCGGUAUUGCCUGGGGUGCCCUGGAAGAAGAACAAGUCUCAAUGAGGAGGGUCAUCCCAAGAAACAGCACUGAACCCAAGGGAAAAGAUGCACUGAUUUAAAUAGCUCUUGAAAUAUAAAUGAUUGUUUAAAUGGUUAAGUAGUAAAUGUACAUUGUGGUUUUACAUAUAAUUUCAGUAGCAACAAACUAAACAGGCUGACUGAUAUGAAGACUUAUCAAAUGAGAUGUGGAUAUUUCAAAUAAAGCAAACGCCUUUUAUCCAU